CCUANGGGAGGCAGCAGUAAGGAAUUUUGCGCAAUGGGCGAAAGCCUGACGCAGCGACGCCGCGUGAUCGAUGAAGCUUUUCGGAGUGUAAAGAUCUUUUGAUUGGGAAAAUUAUGAUUGUACCAAUCGAAUAAGCGCCGGCUAAUUACGUGCCAGAAGCCUCGGUGAUACAUAAGGCGCAAGCGUUAUCCGGAAUUAUUGGGCGUAAAGAGUUCGUAGGUGGUUUGAUAAGUCUUGGGUAAAAUCGUCGAGCUCAACUCGAUUUUUGCUCGAGAGUACUGUCAGACUAGAGGUAAGUAAGGGUAGGUAGAAUUCCCGGUGUAGCAGUGAAAUGCGUUGAUAUCGGGAGGAAUACCAAUGGCGAAAGCAUCCUACUAGACUUAUCCUAACACUGAGGAACGAAAGCGUGGGGAGCGAAAGGGAUUAGAUACCCUUNUANUC
rnacentral:rRNA from 1 species